rnacentral:rRNA from 1 species
UACAGAGGGUGCGAGCGUUAAUCGGAAUACUGGGCGUAAAGCGCGCGUAGGCGGCUUGCAAGUCGGGUGUGAAAUCCCCAGGCUUAACCUGGGAACUGCAUUCGAGACUGCAUUGCUAGAGUAUGGGAGAGGGAAGUGGAAUUUCCGGUGUAGCGGUGAAAUGCGUAGAUAUCAGGAGGAACACCGGUGGCGAAGGCGGGUCUCUGGGCCGAUACUGACGCUGAGGAGCGAAAGCGUGGGGAGCAAACAGG